UACGUAGGGUGCGAGCGUUGUCCGGAAUUAUUGGGCGUAAAGGGCUCGUAGGCGGCCAACUAAGUCAGACGUGAAAUCCCUCGGCUUAACCUGGGAACUGCAUCCGAUACUGGAUGGCUUGAAUCCGGGAGAGGGAUGCGGAAUUCCAGGUGUAGCGGUGAAAUGCGUAGAUAUCUGGAGGAACACCGGUGGCGAAGGCGGCAUCCUGGACCGGCAUUGACGCUGAGGCGCGAAAGCCAGGGGAGCAAAGCGGGG
rnacentral:rRNA from 1 species